UACGGAGGAUGCGAGCGUUAUCCGGAUUUAUUGGGUUUAAAGGGUGCGCAGGCGGAUUUUUAAGUCAGCGGUCAAAUCGUGGGGCUCAACCCCAUCCAGCCGUUGAAACUGGGGAUCUAGAGUGUGCAAGAGGUAUGCGGAAUGCGUGGUGUAGCGGUGAAAUGCAUAGAUAUCACGCAGAACCCCGAUUGCGAAGGCAGCAUACCGGUGCACAACUGACGCUCAGGCACGAAAGUGUGGGUAUCGAACAGG
rnacentral:rRNA from 1 species